CCUACGGGCGGCAGCAGUGAGGAAUAUUGGUCAAUGGGCGCAAGUCUGAACCAGCCAAGUAGCGUGCAGGAUGACCGCCCUACGUGUUGUAAACUUCUUUUAUCCAGGAAUAAACUGAGUCACGUGUGCCUUUUUGUAUGUACUUUAUGAAUAAGGAUCGGCUAACUCCGUGCCAGCAGCCGCGGUAAUACGGAGGAUCCGGGCGUUAUCCGGAUUUAUUGGGUGUAAAGGGAGCGUAGAUGGGUUGUUAAGUCAGUUGUGAAAGUGUGCGGCUCAACCGUAAAAUUGCAAGUGAAACUGGCAGACUUGAGUACAGUUGAGGUAGGCGGAAUUCGUGGUGUAGCGGUGAAAUGCUUAGAUAUCACGAAGAACUCCGAUUGCGAAGGCAGCCUACUAAACUGCCACUGACAUUGAUGCUCGAAAGUGUGGGUAUCAAACAGGAUUAGAUACCCGGGUAGUC
rnacentral:rRNA from 1 species